GAUGAACGCUAGCUACAGGCUUAACACAUGCAAGUCGCGGGGCAGCAUGGGGGUUGCUUGCAAUCCCCGAUGGCGACCGGCGCACGGGUGAGUAACGCGUAUCCAACUUGCCCUUCACCACGGGAUAACCCGGCGAAAGUCGGACUAAUACCGUAUGUUGUCCAUUGACGGCAUCCGAUUUGGACGAAAGGGUUGGCGGUGAAGGAUGGGAUGCGUCCGAUUAGCUGGACGGCGGGGUGACGGCCCACCGUGGCGACGAUCGGUAGGGGUUCUGAGAGGAAGGUCCCCCACACUGGAACUGAGACACGGUCCAGACUCCUACGGGAGGCAGCAGUGAGGAAUAUUGGUCAAUGGGCGUAAGCCUGAACCAGCCAAGUAGCGUGCAGGAUGACGGCCCUAUGGGUUGUAAACUGCUUUUAUGCGGGGAUAAAGUGGCCCACGUGUGGGUUUUUGCAGGUACCGCAUGAAUAAGGACCGGCUAAUUCCGUG
rnacentral:rRNA from 1 species